rnacentral:tRNA from 1 species
GGGGCUAUAGCUCAGCUGGGAGAGCGCUUGCAUGGCAUGCAAGAGGUCAGCGGUUCGAUCCCNNUCCCGCUUAGCUCCACCA